rnacentral:rRNA from 1 species
GAUGAACGCUGGCGGCGUGCCUAAUACAUGCAAGUCGAGCGAACAGACGAGGAGCUUGCUCCUUCGACGUUAGCGGCGGACGGGUGAGUAACACGUAGGUAACCUACCUAUAAGACUGGGAUAACUUCGGGAAACCGGAGCUAAUACCGGAUAAUAUUUCGAACCGCAUGGUUCGAUAGUGAAAGAUGGCUUUGCUAUCACUUAUAGAUGGACCUGCGCCGUAUUAGCUAGUUGGUAAGGUAACGGCUUACCAAGGCAACGAUACGUAGCCGACCUGAGAGGGUGAUCGGCCACACUGGAACUGAGACACGGUCCAGACUCCUACGGGAGGCAGCAGUAGGGAAUGUUACGCAAUGGGCGAAAGCCUGACGGAGCAACGCCGCGUGAGUGAUGAAGGUCUUCGGAUCGUAAAACUCUGUUAUUAGGGAAGAACAAACGUGUAAGUAACUGUGCACGUCUUGACGGUACCUAAUCAGAAAGCCACGGCUAACUACGUG